ACGGCCCCCCCUACACCCUACACUGAACAUGGCAGCAAAUGGAGAGAGAACGGCGAGCUAGAGAGAACGAGGAGGCUGGGAGUACCGCUGGCAUUUUCACCUCGCGGGAGGCUCCGGUCCUGCUCGGCUGUGCGGAAGACAGAGACUGACCGGCAACACAGAGCGUCGUAGACGAAGUCAUGCAGUCUUUCAGAGAACGGAGCUGUUUCCAUGGUAACCAGCACUGCUACCAGCAGGGACCCUAUGAAUUAUCACGCCUUGAGAGUUACAGACAUCAGCGCAGCCAGACCAGACAGGGCUAUGAAGCGCACUCACUCGCAGCAGCACCGUUGGCGACAGCAGCAGACUCCACGGCCAAGGAUUGUUAUAGCCAGCAAGCAUAUCCAGGCUAUAGCAGCAACCCUGCCCCAGCUGAGAAGCAGUACAAAGGCGGCAAAGUUCCAAGCCGGCAGCUGCAGAGCAGUUACGCCGGCCAUCUUGGUAACACAUACUCAGGCGUGUACAUGGCAGAAAGUCAUCUUCAGCAGAAGUGGCCGGCCACAUCGCACAUGUCCCAGUAUGACCAGGAUAUGCUGGCAAAAAUGGAACCAGUAGAUGGUGUCAGAAGCACCGGGUCUCAGUAUUUGCAGCCAAAUGUGCUGCCCGUUUCCCAGAACCGGUGUACUCAUGCAGCACAGUCCCGCUCUUCAGUGUACUCCAGCCACCAUCAGCAGAAGCUCCCGCAAGACGCCUCUCCAUCCCCGGCGAGCUACUCUCACGGCCAGCUGCACUUUCCUCAGCACUCUCAGUCUCUGUCGGCAUCCACACCAUCGUACGUGGAGAAAUGCAACGCCACAUCACACUGCUAUAAAAGCUAUGCCGUGCCCCCGAACUCCCAGUAUAGCAGGAACACUGGGAACACAAACAGCCUAAAGCAAAAUAGCUACAGAGCACAGAGUAACUAUGUCUACCAGCAGGCUUCCUCUAGGUCUGGAUAUGAACAACAGGCUUCCUUGCAGGGAAUGACUAACAGCCAGGAAAGCAUUUCAAAAUACCAACACUUUACUCAGCCACAACAGAGCUACUGUCUCACUGACCUCUCUGUCAGGUCACCUGAGCAUUACUACCAGAAUUGUAGCCCCAACUCCAGCCAGUCACCUGCUAGAUCUGUGGGGAGGUCUCCAACUUACAGCUCCACACCAUCUCCUUUGAUGGUUAGUUCUGACUCGUUUCAAUAUAGCCAGCCCCCCAUUGCAUCAGGCACCUCUUCCUCCACCAGUUUACGAGACCAAGGUUUACUCAUGCCACAGAAAUCUCACUCUACAUCAAAUAUUAACCCCAAGACAACCAGCUAUGCUUCUUCCCUGAAGGACAGAUUCUCUGAGAAGCUAUUGUCUAAUCCAAGCUUGUGGAGUCUUAAUGCCUUGACAUCUCAAGUGGAAAAUAUUUCCAAUAAUGUCCAACAUCUACUGCUGUCUGACUCUCUUGUGAUUAAUAAAAAAGGCAACAAAAGAAGCAAUCCUAAACAAGAGGAGGAAUUUAAGGAUCAUCUUCGCAAUCUUGAAGAAGUUUCCUGUACAGCGACUCACAAUGCUGAAUCUGCCACUGAAGCCUUCGGUACUCCCCAGUCGAUCCACGAUGAGUUGCAGGAGGAUGGAUGCUCUUCUGAGGUCCAGAUGGAAAGAAACUACUACUACUGCAACCAAAGCAGAGAACCAGUGCAGGCUAUUGCUAAUUGUAACCUAACCCUGGAUGUAUCCUCCUGUUCUGUGACUGCACUUGAUAACAUUUCCAAGAUAUCAGAGGACAGUGCAUCAGGCCUUCAGAUUACCCAAGUUAGAGAGAAUAUUGACACCAUCCUGAGGACCAUUGGAGAGGAGACAUCUCAAAGCAACCUUGUUCACAGCCCACUAAAUCCAGAGCCAAAUUCCCAAGAAGACAUCAAUAAAAUAAAGGAGUCACUAAAAGAAGACUUUGAAGAGACAUCCUUGCUGGAAAAGCCAAGUGAACAGAAAGUGAAUGAGAAUCUUAAUAAUACUAUGGCCAGUGCCUGCAACGACCAGAAUAAAGACACUAAAAGUAAGCAAGAAGAAUGGUUAAAGGAUGAAGAAUAUCCCACUGAGUUUCCUAAAACAAGUCAAGUAUUGACAGGAAAAACAUAUCCCAGUGAUAUUGAAGAACAAAUAGACUAUGAGAUGGAACAAGGGUGUAUUACAGAGGAGGAUAAUACUGCAAAGUCCUGUGCAGUAUCACGUGCAAGCAGUAAUAGGAGCUCUGAUUCUCAUUCCGAUAAGAAAAGCAUGCCAUUGGCGUGGAAAGACGAGACUGUAGCCUUAAAAGACAAUACUUCUAAGUCUCCGCAUUUUAACACCAUGAGUGAGCUUUUGGAAGAAGGUUUUUCAAUACUCACAAAAGAAAAAACACUUGAGGAGCAGGAGUCUAUUCGUCCCAGUGAAACCAGUGUAGUUAAAGAGCAAAAGGAGAGUUUACCAUACUCUGAGGAGAGCAUCAAUAAUAAAACAUGGUUGCAACCUGAAGAGCUGUGCAGCCCCACUGAGGAGCAAAGAGACAAGUCUCAAGUUAGUAAAGAAGCAGAUGAGCAAGACAUGCCUUUCACAAACUCAGAAAGAAGCUCAGUCUCACGUGACAUUGCACCUCUGACACAUUGUGUGAAGGCAGGCUUCUCGGUGUUUAAUGAAGAAGCAUCACUCCUCCCCCAAGCAAGGGACCACAUUGAUCGACGAGAUGCUGUGGAACUGGAGCCUGACUCUCCUCAGCUGCCAGGAAAGUCAAUAAUACACUCAGCACCUUCCUGGGCUGACACCCCACCUUCCCCAAAGAAAGGUGAUGAAGAGGUUGAUCCUGAGAUGAGCUGUGUGAGUGCAGUGACAUCAUCAACCGAGUCAGAGCCAAUGGCCCCAUCUGCAAAUCUUACAGCAUUCAGCAGACGGCAUGUGCGAGGAAGGCGACGCCAAUCUCGAAUACUAAUUCAUGCAAGUACUGUAGUCACAAGACUUUCAAAUAUGGAUGAAAAGGAAGUUCCAGAAUCUCCUCAGGAAAUCAAUAUGGCACCCACUAAAACAACAGUUUUAGCAGAACAAAGACGGGCUGUUCACAAAGACCUCUUCUCCCAGACAUGCAAUAUUUCAGCAGAGAACUUCCCUUCCAGGAUGUGCACUCGUUCUUUCACUGCAAUGGCUGCAUCGAGUUCAUGCCCCCAUUUGAAAAAACGUGGCCCAAAGCCAUAUCAGCAAUUUGACGGCGAGGACUCUGUAGGUCAUACCAAGGGCUUGAUAACUAAAACUGACUGGAAAAAGCUGCGAGACCACAAAACUGCAAUCACAAGUAGGAAAGGUUUGAGUGAGAUCAUGAACCAAGAUGAAAACCAGGAAACCGGUUUGAGUUUAACGUCAGUUGUUAAAGACCAAAAAUCUAUGGUACUGAGAUCCAGAAAACAAGCGCAGGAGAACCCAGUGAAAGAAAAAGGAAUGGAGAAGAAGACCAUGUGCAUUCUACCUAAAACAAUUAAAGAAAUGAAGAAGCAGGAGACGACGUUGCUGAAAGAACAGUGCUGCGACAGCCCCAAACAAACCCUUGCUUCUGUACACCGGAAAAAUGUCUACAGAUCAUUGAUUAGCAAACCAAAUGAGAAGAGUGAGUCUGCCACUAAAAGGAAAUCCAACUGCCAGUCUAUGGUUCCUAUAAAAAGACAGAGGAUGAUAAAAGGAAUCAAGUUUGACAAACUUCCUUUAAAAACCAACCUAUCGGUGGUUAAGAGUCCCAAAAAGAGGUUAAAGCGAGACGAGAUUUUUACAUUACCUCUGAACAGUUUUCUUACGAAAGAUCCCUCCCCUGUUAAUGUUAACGAUAUUUCUUUGCCUGUCCAGUACCCGGUCAAAACAAAGUAUCUGCCCCCAAGGAAAGGCAGAGGGCUAAAAUAUGAAGCCAUGGUUCAGAAAAUGACAUCACUCGGCACAAAAAAGCAUAGCCUAAACACUCAUUUUGACAACAUAGUUGAGAAUUUGCCAAAAAAGAUCAUAGAGGAUGUUUUGGAACAAGUAAAGCCAGCAGAGGACAAAGAGUUGGUGCACAAGGAUGGCGAACUUGCAAAGAGCACCAUGGUGUUGGAAAACACAACAUGCCUGAAAGAUUCUGACGCUAUAAAGGAAGAAGGAUCCCAGGAGAGCAGCAAGCAGCCUGACUUGGCCUUGGAAACACAGACCGCCUUCAUCAGUACACAGAGAAUAGCCAAGCAAAGGGCCAUCAAGAACAAUCAUGAAAUGCAUCUGAAGCAGAGAAGAAGCAGAAGGAAGAGCCACGCUUCCCAGGUGAGCAGCACAGCCACAAAGCAGGAACCGCUGCCCAUAGCACCCUCAGAGGACAGGGAGAAACAGCUGGGAAGCUCUCAGGCUUCUCCCAACUUUGUACCGGGCAAACAUGGGUUUCACUCCCAGAGGAAGGCACGAGUUACGGCAUUGGAUAAGCAAGGCAGUGUGGCACAUAAAGCAGUAUCCAAAAGGACAACUGACAAGUACUUUAAUCACGGCAAGGUUGCAAAGAAUGGCCGCAGAUUUAAGGCUACACACAGAAAGCAGGAUACUUUAUUAGCGAUGGAAGAGCAACUAGAGUACACUAUAAACUAUUUAUUGUGCAAACUCCCCAAAAACGAGACCCUGCCUUUAUUCAGGCCGUAUGUGCAUGUUGACAAAAUGGCACAUUUUGCCUCUGUAUGUACCGUCAUCAACGGGCCUGAGGAGGAACAUCUGCUCUUUCAGGCCAGGAGAAAGAAAAUCCAGGACGCAGCUACAGUUUCCAAGGCAAUACCGGACUCUUCAGUCAUGCUGCAGGGUCCCUUGGUGAACAAAAACCUGAUUGACCGCAGUCUCACUUGCUGCCUUUGUGGAAAACCGACAAAUUACAAGGAGCUCGGGGACUUGUGUGGGCCGUAUUACCCCGAGGACAGCAUACCAAGGAAGACCCUGUCUUUUAAAUACAGACAGCUGUCCAGAGAGGAUAAAGUGAUAAUGAACUGCAAUGUGGGGCACACAGGAGCUCUAAAGAGGGAGGGCGGUAGGAGUCUAGCGGGGCGGAGCAGUUGUGAAGGCAACGCAGGACAACUGAGAGGUGCGGAGAGAGCUUCUGUUGAGGGCGUUGCGCGGCCAAAAUUCUUGGAGAGGUACAAAAGGCUGCAGCAGCUUCAGGGUUCUGAGAGAAGGGCUGGGGAGGACGGGACUCGUCCCUUAAGACUGCAUGAAAGCGGCAGAACUGCGCUGCAGGGAGCCGAACUGGAAGCAGAGUCCAGGGAGCACUGGCUCCAUGAGGCCUGUGCUGUUUGGACCGGCGGGGUUUUCCUGGUGUCUGGAAAACUUUACGGCGUGAAGGAGGCUGCACGUGCCACAGCUGCGACGAGCUGUUCAGUGUGCCAAGAUAUGGGUGCGUCAAUCAGAUGCUCCUAUGAAGGCUGUCCUCAGAACUUCCACUAUUUCUGUGCCAAAGAGAUUGGUAGGAGUUCUGUAUGUGCCCGUACCCAUUUAAGUUAUCAGUGCUUGCAGUCAUCCCUUGCUCUGGUUAAUUAAAACACUGAGGAAGCAUAUGUAGAACACAGGCUCCACUACUGACAGAUUAAGGAUUAUGAACCGCACUUGCUAUGCAGACUGCCAUAUGGAUCUCACUAGACGAAAGACACUUAACCUCAUUCGGGAUAAUGUGCAAAAUGGUACAAUGUGUUAAGUUUCUUUGGAUAAAACUCUCUUCUCAUCAUCAGAAUAAUCAUCAAAGCCUCGACUUGACAUCAAGGAGAAUGUAGAGUAGCGUUGAUGAUCCUGUCUUCCAUCCUUACUCUCUCCAGCUGAUUUAACCCUCUUAUCAUUACAGGUUGCUGGCUGGAAGAAGAAAGCUUGUCUUUGAGAUGUACAAACCACCAGAGUCUCUGAGAAAUGGCAGUGGGAUUUAGGAGGAUCUCCUGAGCGGGGCAUCGAGAGGACACACGCCCAGACGGGCCGGGAUGGAUUACAGGGUGGCGCUGAACGCCGGGAUACCAGCUCCUGCAGCAGAGCGGCACAAACAGCAGCCCUGGCUGAAGCCAGCUGCACACUAAUGUCCGCAGAGGAAAGUCACUGCUAGCCUCUUCUUUCCUGGCGUCCUUUAAGGGUGAAAACUUUCGGCACUCAUGCACUCCGCCGCAUUUAAUUUCAACAGAACGUGGGUGACUUUCCUUCAGAGGAUAUCAACGAAAAAAAAAAAACUCAGCUGAAGUCAUUUUGCAUUAUCAUAUGUUCCGAUACUUCCAAGUCGAAAUCUACCGCUUUUUAUCCAUGUUUCUCAAAUGGUUUGGUUUUCUUUCUGUACUAAGCAAUCCUUGCUCGAGCAUCCCACUGUUAAAAAAUAACAUCAAAUUUUAAAUACUUAAAUAUCUAAAAACAUUCAUACUCAAGUUGUGUCGUAACUGUGAGCAAGGUGGAUUGAUGGAUGUAUUUAUACAACUUCUUCCUAUAUAUAUAUAUUUUUAAUGUGCUUUCAGAAAUCUGUAAUAAAAUAAAUGGUCACAUGGCAAUCAAGUUUUAUAUGACCAUAGUAUUGAUCUUUUCCAGCCAGUUCACCUAAGUAUUCAUCUCUCUGCUCCCAGUGUCUCAAAGAUUGUACUCAUAAUUUAGCUCAAGGAAUGAAGUACAGAAUUUUGCACAGUUCUUAGCUACUCUGCACCGCAUAAAGUUCAAAUGAAUAUCGUACAAUUUUUGCUCAGUCGAAUAUCAGUGUUGUUUUUCUUCCUUGCUCAGACCUCACAUUUUACUAUGUAGGUGGAAAAAACUUGCCUGUUAACCUUAAAAUAUUACAAAAUUUCAGUAAAAACAGAAGAAUACUCAACUUUCAUCAUAAGCGACCAGUAAUUUGUACUUCAUCUCAAUUAUUUAAUGUUGUAUAUAAUUAUUUUAUGCUGGUUUCUUUUAAAAUGUGAUGUACUUAAAUACUUGUUUAUAGUAUUUAUUAGAGAUAUUUAUUUUCUAUAAAAUUAAUG